AUCCCGAUCCCUGGCUCUGGUCUGCCAUGGAAUAUGAAAAGUCAGUCCACAGUGAUCUCCUCCAGCUUAACAGUUGUGCCUGAUGGAAAACAGCACAAAGAGCAGUACCGGGAAGAGAUCAGGUGCACACAUGUGAAUACCCUGUCCAUUUGCUCAGUGAUUCUACAAACAACCUGAGAAGGAUGAAUACCAGCAGUGAGAUAGAAACCUGUCAGCAGUGUGGAGAAAGGAAAUGUGGUGACCUUAUUUGUCAUAAACUGUACUGUUAUGACCUCUACAUCCCAUCUGCACCUGCACCACGGAACAAGAAGCAGAUAGCUGUUGACAAGUUUAUUAAUGAGCAGAUUGUAGAAGUCCUGGAGAACGAUGAUUACUGCUGUUACCACGGCUACAGGAAUUUUGUUGGUGGAGAUACCAUCAUACAUGCCAUGCAAAAACCCAUGAAAAUUAUCCCUGUUACACUUAUACCAGUCUACAAGGACCAAUACUUCCGAACUCUUUUAGACAUGCUUGUAACUGCAGAUAAGCUGAGAAGAAUUGUACUGCUUUUGUUUGAUGCUACUUAUACUUUGCCCAAUCUAUGGCAAUGUUGCUUUUCAGUAGAGGUCAACGACCCACAACUUCUGCGCAAAAUAAAGAAAACCAUAGAUCAUCAUAGAAAACUAUUCCCAUUGAGCAAAAGGAAACAGAUCGUAUCGAGGGAAAUAGACACAGAGUCUGCUUCACCCUUCUCAUCCCCCACAGCCAGAGACUCCCCUUUCAGGAGAUCGGACAGAUCAAGGGGGUCGUUCAGACCGUGCGGGAGCCAUUGCUGCGCCUCACCUCUCAGCAGCUCAUUCUUGCAGCACACGGCGCAUCUCCAGGGAGGUACUGCUUCCGCACAUACACGCCAUACACGGGCUGCUCCCACACAGCGGUAAUGUUCUCCCAGCCAGGGCACCCCCACUCAUGUAAUACUCCCACACAGCAGCAGCUGGGAGGACCUCACUGC